GAGAUUUGCCAUCCGUAGGUUGCGGAUAAUGACAAUCUGGACAUUCAGUGGCCUUAGCUUUUUUCCCUAAGCGGCUCUCCUGGCCUUGGCGGUACUUUUCGCAUCGGCGUUCACUUGUCUCUUGCCUUAACUCUCGGACCAACUUUCUUGGUGGUCAAUCUCACUUAAUUUCUUAUAGUAAAAUGUCUCUUUAUCUUACUUAUGAGGUAGGAAGAACAGUUGUACAAAUUCUACAGUUAUAACUGUUUGCACAGUUCCACUGUGGAAUAGUUCUUACUGUUAUAAUUUGUCAGACAGUGUAUCAUUGUAUGGCUCUGAUACCACUUUGCGCCAGGAUCUACAGCACUGUCUUUUGGUUAGGUUUUAUCUAUUUUAAUUGCUUUGGUUUAAGUUUAUGGAGAAUCUAUGGAGAAUCUAUGGAGAUUUAACUAUUGCGGAUAACAGAGUUAUAAUAAAUAAGUAAACAGCAAGCUGUUAUACUGGAUUAUUGACUGUAAAAUUCUGUAGUAAUUUAAGCAGAAUAAUAUGAUUCCUAUGAAAGGAAUUAUUGAAAUAUCAAGUACAAUCCACUGAGCGUAACUAAUGUUACCUAUUUUAAUAUUAAAUAAAAUUUUAAACUGCAUGAAAUUUUUUCAGAAAAUCACACUAGCAUCUUAUUAUCAUUUACAGAGAAUAUUACAGAGCAAAUAAUAUUACAGGGUACAGAGGAGAUAAAAGCAGGAAAGCAAGUAAUAAAACUAAAAGCAUAAGACUUACUGGGUAGCAAGAAAUAAAAUGAAAAGCACAAGAUUUACUGGGUACAUAUACAGUAACUGGAAAAGAGUUUCCAGUGGUGAGGACAGUAAGAAGGCAAGUUAUUGAUAUUGCAAUCACACAUUAUUAAGAGUGAGGUGAGAGAUGACCUGGUUCAGCUAUGAGGGCAAUGAUAGCUGUGAAUAAGAACAGUUGCAGGGUUCAGAUGCAGACGUACAGGUGCAGAUGCAGAGCAGAGGUACAGGUGAAGGACAGAGGUUCGGAUGCAGGUCUGGAGGUCUGAGGUUUGAUCUGAAUACAUUGAAAGAGCCUUUCUAAUAGAUAUUUCCAUUGAGCACCAGCAGGUUCACAUGGACCCAAGUAAGCUUGCACCAUUAUACCUGUUAAAUCAUCUUAAUCCUAUCAAUGGGGUUAAGACCAGAGAGUACUAUGAAGCAAUUCUAAUGGAAACAGGAUCCAUCUCUGUUGUCAAUUAUUUACAACAAAAUACCAGAAUCAUAGCCUAUUCAAAGGUACAAAUAAAAAAGCUCCUUCCUUAUACUGAGUGGGGUUCUAAUCCCGCACAUGGGAAGAAAUUACAAAAUUCUGAAUUUUCUUACAAAUAUUUCAAAUACGCUGAGUAUAUAGAAGCUUGGCAUAAAUUUUUCUAUUACCAAAACCCCAACAAUACUCAUAGCUGGUAUUUACAGUUUCGGCUACCAAUUUUCGAAAGGUUCCCCACUUGGUUUCAAAACUGGUUUUUUGUGUGGGGAUCAACUGCGAUGAUUUUACCUCCUGCUUUCAAAAAACUGCAGGAACAAUUUAUACAAUACAAUAAUACCAAUAAUACAGUUGAUACUCACCUUUACUUUAUGGCUUUAUACCAAAUCCCUUGGAUCAUGAAAUGGGAUUAUACCAUCUCACCCAAUACUUCCAAUGAUUAUACCUACAUCCCUCGCUUGGGAAAGACCAUCUCUGUCAAAUGGUGGGAUAUCUUCCAAAUGGAUCUCAUCAAAGCCACUCCAAAGAGAAUACCUUCCGAAACACCUAUAUACCAGAAAAACCCAAAUACUCCAAACACUUCAUUCGAUUUUCCUACCUAUUUGAGAAAUAUGCUUCAAACCAACCCUCAUGCUUCCAAGGACGAACUUGAAAAACAAAUGAAAGAGAUAUUUGCUGAAGCAGGAAGAAAACCUACAUCUUCCGAAGAAACAGUUCAGUCCUCUCCACUACACACCAAUAGAUAUCUCCAGCUCAGUCAAAAGGAUCCAGAAGAAACCGAUCCAGACGAAACAGAUCCAGAAGAAGACGAUCCGGAUGAGUUCAGCCAGAGACCAUGAAUAACCAUCAUCACCGUCAAAAACCAUCAUCAUCAUCAUGAAGAAAGAUAGUAUGGGUCCUACCACCAAAGAAGGACACUCAUUGUAAUAAGGCCAAAAGAGCCUAGAUAUUUUACUUUUUAUUAUUUUUUAUUUUUAGAGCAUCCCCCUAUGCUCAUGUUUUGUCCACUAGCACUUUUGUCAUAUUCACCGACACCUCCUCUUGUCGUAUCUGUAGACAUCUGGGCCCCUCUCCUUUGUCCAUAUGCACCGAAGAUUCUCUUUUCCUUGUCCACAUAUGCUGUCCACAUAUGACAUCUCUCUUUUCCUUUUUGUCCUAUUCAAAUAGUUGCCAGCUGUCUUCCUUUACCGACAAUGGCCGACAAAAGCAUCUACCUACUUUGUCCUCUUGUUAGCUGCCGACAAUGGCAUCCACCUCAUUUGUUGUCCUCUUCUAAAAAUACUGGCCAGCUGUAAAGCCAAAAGGAUUCCUUCCGACUCCUAUAAGAAGGAAGCACUUCCUUCAUUCAGAGGCAGGGCCUCACUCCUCUCCUCUUCCAGAGCUAAACUCUUCUCCUCUCUCAACCUUACCUGAAGCCUUCGCCAACUUUGCGCCAGGAUCUACAACACUGUCUUUUGGUUAGGUUUUAUCUAUUUUAAUUGCUUUGGUUUAAGUUUAUGGAGAAUCUAUGGAGAAUCUAUGGAGAUUUAACUAUUGCGGAUAACAGAGUUAUAAUAAAUAAGUAAACAGCAAGCUGUUAUACUGGAUUAUUGACUGUAAAAUUCUGUAGUAAUUUAAGCAGAA
rnacentral:lncRNA from 1 species